AUAGCCAAAUAAAUAAAGAAAUUAUUUAAUAUCUGGUCAAGAGUGGAAAGGUGCUGCUGAACUCACUGCUUACAAAGCUGCUCAGGACAUUGCUAACUCUGAAUUGGCUCCUACUCAUCCGAUUCGUCUUGGUCUCCUCUCCGCUCCGAUAGCCAAGUCCGAUCUGCUUCAUAAUGAGAGCUUAUAGUCUUUGAUUAUAUCUGAAUCGAGUUCAUACCACAAUUCUUUAGCCAUUAAAAUCACUAAAUUCAUCGUUGAAUCGACUUGAUGAAAAACGCUGGGUAAAAGAGGGUGGAUGUUCAAAAGGCGGUCCAACACAUGAUCUGUAGGACAAAUCCGCAAAUCUUUAAUUUUUUUUUUUUGUUGAAAAAACGCAAAUUUGUUUAAAACUUGUUGA